rnacentral:rRNA from 1 species
UACGAAGGGGGCUAGCGUUGCUCGGAAUCACUGGGCGUAAAGCGCACGUAGGCGGCUUGUUAAGUCAGGGGUGAAAUCCUGGAGCUCAACUCCAGAACUGCCUUUGAUACUGGCGAGCUUGAGUUCGGGAGAGGUGAGUGGAACUGCGAGUGUAGAGGUGAAAUGCGCAGAUAUCAGGAAGAACACCCGUGGCGAAGGCGGCUCUCUGGGACGGUACUGACGCUGAGACGCGAAAGCGUGGGGAGCGAACAGG